UGCCAGCAGCCGCGGUAAUACGGAGGGGGCUAGCGUUGUUCGGAAUUACUGGGCGUAAAGCGCGCGUAGGCGGACGAGAAAGUCAGAGGUGAAAUCCCAGGGCUCAACCCUGGAACUGCCUUUGAAACUCCUUGUCUUGAGGUCGAGAGAGGUGAGUGGAAUUCCGAGUGUAGAGGUGAAAUUCGUAGAUAUUCGGAGGAACACCAGUGGCGAAGGCGGCUCACUGGCUCGAUACUGACGCUCAUGCACGAAAGCGUGGGGAGCAAACAGGAUUAGAUACCCUGGUAGUCCACGCCCUAAACGAUGUCAACUAGCUGUUGGGGCCUUCGGGCUUUAGUAGCGCAGCUAACGCGUGAAGUUGACCGCCUGGGGAGUACGGUCGCAAGAUUAAAACUCAAAGGAAUUGACGGGGACCCGCACAAGCGGUGGAUGAUGUGGAUUAAUUCGAUGCAACGCGCAGAACCUUACC
rnacentral:rRNA from 1 species